GGAGUGCCUUCUGUUGUCUCCAUCUGAACCCUGACUGACACACCUCCAACCUUGGGGACCUCCAGUCUUACCUGAUGCAGGAUUCCACCUGGGGCCCCCAGCUCCACGGCGCAUGUCCACAUCCCUUCAUCAUAGUGAGAUGUGGUGGUACAGAUAAAAAAUAUUGUCAGCUCUGAGCGGGAACCUGGCAAAAGUGCGGUCACCACCACCGUGGAGAAUUCAGAGUGAGGAGAGCCACCUGCGCGGGACACCCGGCCGAGGAGGCCGGGACGGCGUGGGGCUGUGCCUCACGGGCCCCCACUUCUCUCACAGGAGAGCAGCUGUGCCCUCGCUCUGGGCCUGUGGACUCGAACUUCACACACAGUCUUAACCAUGGAGUUCGCAGAGGGUCAGAGGAAAGCAUGGAUGUCAGAAUGUGCAGACGGCGGGCAGUGGUCAGCUUCCUGCUGGGUGUGGUGGCCGGACUUGGGAGACGUUUGGCCUAAUGCAGAGCUGUCAGCUUACGAGGCAAUGCACAAAGCCACUAUUUAAAGACAAGGACUGGAGGAGACAGAUGACCACGUGAAUCUUAUCUCCCGAUCCGGGUCCACCCUGCUGCCCGACCCCCUGCAGCUCUGCUUCCUGGGCCUCACCAAGGCUGCAGACAACCGUAUCUGCUCUGCAGCCCAUCAUGGCCUGUGCUUUCCGGAUAGGCUGGUACGAACAGUCGAAGACCGAGAACGAUCAUGUUACUGUGACGGUGCCUGAAAGCUCAAGGCCCG